rnacentral:rRNA from 1 species
GACGAACGCUGGCGGCGUGCCUAAUACAUGCCAGUAGAACGCUGAAGGGGGAGCUUUCUUCUCUGGACGAGUUGCGCACGGGUGAGUAACGCGUAGGUAACCUGCCUGUAAGCGGGGGAUAACUAUUGGAAACGCUAGCUAAUACCGCAUAAGAGAUGUUGUUGCAUGACAUUUGCUUGAAAGAUGCAAUUGCAUCACUACUAGAUGGCCCUGCGUUGUAUUAUCUAGUUGGUGGGGUAACGGCUCACCAAGGCGACGAUGCAUAGCCGACCUGGUAAGGUGGACGGCCAAACUUGGACCGGGACACGGCCCAGAAUCCCUCGGGAAGGAGCCGUAGGGAAACUUUCGCAAUGGGCCGAAGGCCUACCGAGCAAAGCCGCCGGAGUGAAGAAGGUUUUCGGGUCGUAAAGCCCCGGUUUAAGAGAAGAAAGAGUGGUAGAGGUAAAAGUUCACACUGUGACGGUAUCUAACCAGAAAGGGACGGCUAACUACGUG